rnacentral:lncRNA from 1 species
CCAAUACAAUGAGCAUGUGCUUUACUCCUUUAAAUUUUCGUAUCAAUACGUUGGAUACUAUUCUAGCUACAGAGGCGACAGACAAACACACACACACACACACACACACACACACACACACACACACACACACACAAACAAACACACACACACAAAUUUCACUCUCAGGUGCAUUACGUCAUGGUCAUGUCAAUCCCGAAUAUCUUUCUGAACAUGUUUGACCAAAUAAAUGUGUGUAUAACUACACAAUAGCCGGAUAACACGUUUCUUAAAACUAAUACGCUUAAAACUAAUAUAACAAUCUAAUUGACGGCGGCAACGCUAGUUUGAAAAAACGCAUUAAAAUUCGGUUGCGUGCAAGAUUGGAACGUUUAAAACAAAACUUGAAUUCUUAAGAUGCAAGUUUGGACAGUUUCCCAUAAGUUUUAACUCAUCGUAAAGAAACAUUUCCGCUCAAGAACAUUUUCUACAGACAGAAAAUGUUUCGAAAAUAU